GGUGGAGUGAGUUAUAGAGGAAAAAGCACUUGACUUGGAAUCAAGAGAGCCUGAGGUUGGAAUCCCAGCUCCUACA
rnacentral:tRNA from 1 species